rnacentral:rRNA from 1 species
AUUGAACGCUGGCGGCAGGCCUAACACAUGCAAGUCGAGCGGAUGAAGGGAGCUUGCUCCUGGAUUCAGCGGCGGACGGGUGAGUAAUGCCUAGGAAUCUGCCUGGUAGUGGGGGAUAACGUCCGGAAACGGGCGCUAAUACCGCAUACGUCCUGAGGGAGAAAGUGGGGGAUCUUCGGACCUCACGCUAUCAGAUGAGCCUAGGUCGGAUUAGCUAGUUGGGGGGGUAAAGGCCUACCAAGGCGACGAUCCGUAACUGGUCUGAGAGGAUGAUCAGUCACACGGGAAAUGAGACACGGUCCAGACUCCUACGGGAGGCAGCAGUGGGGAAUAUUGGACAAGGGGCGAAAGCCUGAUCCAGCCAUGCCGCGUGUGUGAAGAAGGUCUUCGGAUUGUAAGCACUUUAAGUUGGGAGGAAGGGCAGUAAGUUAAUACCUUGCUGUUUUGACGUUACCAACAGAAUAAGCACCGGCUAACUUCGUG